rnacentral:rRNA from 1 species
UCCGGAGGGGGCUAGCGUUGUUCGGAAUUACUGGGCGUAAAGCGCGCGUAGGCGGACCUGCAAGUCGGGGGUGAAAGCCCGAGGCUCAACCUCGGAACUGCCUUCGAUACUGCGGGUCUCGAGUCCGGGAGAGGUGAGCGGAAUUCCUAGUGUAGAGGUGAAAUUCGUAGAUAUUAGGAAGAACACCAGUGGCGAAGGCGGCUCACUGGCCCGGUACUGACGCUGAGGCGCGAAAGCGUGGGGAGAAAACAGG